rnacentral:rRNA from 1 species
CAGCAGCCGCGGUAAUUCGUAGGUGGCGAGCGUUGUCCGGAUUUAUUGGGCGUAAAGGGAGUGUAGGCGGUCUUUUAAGUCUGAAGUUAAAGGCACUGGCUCAACCAAUGUAUGCUUUGGAAGCUGUUAGACUUGAGUGCAGAAGGGGAGAGUGGAAUUCCAUGUGUAGCGGUGAAAUGCGUAGAUAUAUGGAGGAACACCGGUGGCGAAAGCGGCUCUCUGGUCUGUCACUGACGCUGAGGCUCGAAAGCGUGGGUAGCGAACAGGAUUAGAUACCCCUGUAGUCCCUGUCUCUUAUACA